AGCGUCAGGGUUGCUGCAGUCGCUCCUGAAGAGACCCGGCUCUGCUUGAAAGUUCUUCCCUCAGCGCCUGCUGCAGCCCUCCCUGCCGGAGUUGCCAGAAUCCACACGGAAUCCACAGAUCUGCCCUGAUGAUCAUGAAGGAAUGCGAAAGAGCCUGGUAAAAUGAUAUGGACUUGUGCAAAAAUGCAAAGCAAUGGUGAAGUCAUCACGAACCGCACAGACUGGACAGAACUCCUAUCUGGCUGCAGUGGCUUGGGUUCAGUCAGCCCAGGGGCCAGAGAAUUGGCUAGAAAGAGCUCUGGAGUGCCCCUCCCUCCAAAUAAAGUAUUCUAAGCAUGCACUGAUCAA